rnacentral:rRNA from 1 species
AGGACGAACGCUGGCGGCGCGCCUAAUGCAUGCAAGUCGAGCGACGCAUACCGGAGGGGUAACCCAUCGGUAUGACGGAGCGGCGAACGGGUGAGUAACACGUGAGCAACCUGCCCCACAGACCGGGAUAGCCCAGGGAAACUUGGAUUAAUACCGGAUAUUCUCGAGGAACCACAUGGCUCUUUGAGGAAAUGCCUUUGUGCUGUGGGACGGGCUCGCGGCUUAUCAGCUAGUUGGUGGGGUAACGGCCUACCAAGGCAUCGACGAGUAGCUGGUCUGAGAGGACGAUCAGCCACACUGGGACUGAGACACGGCCCAGACUCCUACGGGAGCAGCAGCGAGGGGAAUCUUGCGCGAAUGGGGA